rnacentral:rRNA from 1 species
CAGCAGCCGCGGUAAUACAGAGGGUGCAAGCGUUAAUCGGAAUUACUGGGCGUAAAGGGUCUGUAGGCGGAUUAUUAAGUCGGAUGUGAAAUCCCCGGGCUCAACCUGGGAACGGCAUUCGAUACUGGUAGUCUAGAGUGUGCAAGAGGAUGGGGGAAUUCCUGGUGUAGCAGUGAAAUGCGUAGAGAUCAGGAGGAACAUCAAUGGCGAAGGCACCUUUCUGGGGCAACACUGACGCUGAGAGACGAAAGCGUGGGGAGCAAACAGGAUUAGAUACCCUGGUAGUCCACGCCCUAAACGAUGUCAACUAACUGUUCGGAGUCACUAAGAUUCUGAGUAGUGAAGCUAACGCGAUAAGUUGACCGCCUGGGGAGUACGGCCGCAAGGUUGAAACUCAAAGAAAUUGACGGGGGCCCGCACAAGCGGUGGAGUAUGUGGUUUAAUUCGAUGCAACGCGAAGAACCUUACCCGGUCUUGACAUGGUAGGAAUCUUGUAGAGAUACGAGAGUGCCUUCGGGAACCUACACACAGGUGCUGCACGGCUGUCGUCAGCUCGUGUCG